CACGUGUUUGAUACAUAAUUAUUAAUGCUCUGCUAGGAAAGAUAACGAGCCACGACCGACUCGACAAACGAAAUUAACUAUACUACGCUGAGAGCCGUGAUAUAACUUUCAUUUCAUGAUUUCGCGUUAAAUUACGCGCAAUGGUAUAAAAAAUAUCGAAUAUUUUCGGAAGAUUGAAAAAUAAGAUUGGUAGAGGCACAUUUUCAACUAACGAAGGAAAAUAAAUAGCCGGAGUCCAUUAUGUUAAAACAAAAUAUUUAACGUUUGCCAGCGCUGAUAGCGUUGCUAAUGAUCAAAGUCGUUGAUAAGAAGAUUUGCUCGAUAUGAACAGAAGUUUGACAAGGUAAUUUGGCUUCUCAAAUGUAGAACAAUUUGAUAAGAUCUAUCAAAUUUUUCAGUGAAAAUGUUUAUCUUACGAAACGGUAAUAAUUGGAUUUAUCUGAUAAAAUAAGUAACUUUACCAAAGAGAUUUAAAAUUCUUUCGAACCUCCCCGCGUCUCACCAUGGUUUUAAGACAUCUCUCCUUUACUUUGUUCUGUCGUUUACUUAUAAAAUAACAAAACAAUAAAAACUUUGAAACUUUCGCAUAAAUUGAUUAAUACGAAGGAAGAUAAAUAAUGAUUUGCCGAAAUUUCGGCAGCCCACGCGCUCUCGAGUUUUCCUCGUGGUGAGUAUUACUCACGUGAUAAAUCGUUUGCCACCUCGCAUUUAUCUGAUUUCAUUGAAUGGACAAAAGUAAUCGUGUUCUCCACUCGUCCCAUAAGAAUCAUGUACUUGGAGCACACGAUGGUGGGGAAGAGAAAGAAAGGGGGGACUCCAUUCACCUUACUAAAACGUCACGCCAGGUGAGGUUUGACGAACGGACCGUUUCCAUUGCUCUCACUAUCGUUCGUUCAUUCGUACGCGAUGCUUCUUUUUUUUUUUUUUUUUUAGUCGAUUAGCAAAUUGAGAAUUAAUUUGUUUGGUCGAUAAGUCCGCACGUGGAAAUUAUUCACCGUUGAAAUUGAAAGCGAUCAGGCAAGGUCUUAAAGUUUUACGAUCGAUUUUAUAUUUCGUUUUCUGUUAAAUCGAUCGUACCGUUUUACAAAUUAUCAAAAAUUAGUUGAACUCUUGAGAUUUCAUGACCGUACUUUUCGUUUGGCUCGAAAACAAUUUUAUGAGUUUGCCAAUCGUUAGAGAUUGUUACGGGCGAAAAGAAAAGAUCUUUUAAAAGUUUUAAUAUCAUUCCAGAUGAAACGGUAGAGAUUCUUCGUGAAAGUAAAUGAUCCCUGAGAUCAAUUCAAUUGAACGUCGAGAUCAAAGACUGACGAAAAAUUAUAUUGCAGUAUGUAAUAAGCUUUCGUUAAAAUCUCUUUAUCGAUUAACCCAGAAAGUAAGAUAAUAUUUGAGGUAAAAGCUAAAAUGGCUCAAUAAUUGGAUAUGUACAAGUAUAAUUAAGAGAUUCGAUCUGAAAAAAGAUCGCGUUAAAUAUUUACUUUCUGUUCGUAUUACAUACAUAUUUCUUUUUUCUUUUUUUAAUAAAACUCGCUUAUGAGAAGCCAAAUAAUAAUCACCGCGCGGAUUACUUUUUAUUAAGAAAUUUUAAUCAUGUAUUUUCUCGUAAAAAUAGGUGUUUAUGAAGUACAUAAAUCGUUAUUAUGCAAUAUUAUCGGAUCACCUUUUAUUUUUAUUUCCAUCUUGUAAAUUAUAUUGCACCAUAAAUUUUUAGAUUUCAAUCGAUUCUUUUUACUUUAUUACACGCAUCUGCAUCAAUCAAUGACAACAAUUACAAUUCUUUUCACAAAUUUUUGUAACUUCGUUCCUUGCACGAUCUCUCUCCACAGAAAUUAUUUAAGAAGUUUCGCGUAAAAACGUUGAAUGUUGGAAAACCAACGCGUUCAAAUCUCUCGUAUAUUUGUCUGAUGUUCGUCACAAAAGAAAGCUAAUAAUUUAAUGAGAAUAUUUCCUGAAAAUUCUCUGGACAUCUUUUGGCUGGCAAUUUAUUGUUUGUUCGGAAAAAGUGUAACGCUUAUUGUUGAUCGACUGGAGAAAGAAAUAGGUCAGACGUUGGUUGCAAGUAGCAGACAGCAGAGUAGAGAAGUUGAAGCGUAAAGUACCGAAGCGAACAACCCGGCGAGCAACAUUUUAUCGUAACAUGUGCCAUUAAACGAAGUAAAUCUUUUUUAAACGUGACUUAUUUUCUCUUUCGGAACAUUAUUUUCCUCUCUGCUCAAUGCCAACUUUCGCAACUCGUUUCAAUCUCCAUACCAGCAAAGACAAUUCGACGAUAAAUUUCACGCAUCUCUGACCCGUCCCUCGAUAUCCGAAUAUUUCUCAUUUUUCAAAUUGAAUUCUGCAAUGAGAAUCUCUCGUGGUCAAAAAAUGAAACGUUAUCGCUAAUUUCUGUAACUUAAUUUCCUUCUGAGUGAUAAUUGUAACGAUAGAAGCUACGAUAAAUAUGGUACACAAAAAUCGACGAUGCAAAACUAGACUAUACUCGUCGCAGUCUGUUCUGGAUUGAAAUGAAUUCGUUCAAUCUGAUAGAGACGACAAGCAAAUUUUUCAUAAAACACAAUGAAAGUUCAAAAAUUGCAAUAUGUGGUACAUGAAUGGUACAUGAACAGGUUGAUUGCCGUGCAAAUUUCAUAUAUAUAUUUUUCUUUUUCUUAGGACCCGUGAUAGAUCGAAAUAUACCACAUCGUAACAUUUAAUUUUUGCGAAACGUUCUAUUUGCCUACUUUCCUUUGACAAUGUUAUCUAAAUCAUUCACAUUAUUAGAAAUUUAGUCCAUGAAAUUUAUUGCCAGUCCAUGGAAUUUAUCUUAUCUUAAUCAUUCUAAAAGAUUUAGUGACCUGGAUCACCGAUGGUCACCGUGGUAGUGAACGUGUUAAAAGCAUCAAUAAUUCUAAGAAGCAUCGACCAGGGAUAAACCCAGCGUGUUAGCGUAGUCGUUUAACUAGGCGUAGGUAGGUCGGACACGUGGGAAGCAGCUGGGUCCACGAAAUCAACAAUUUGCGAAUUCGAUUCCUUUCUGAAACGUUUAGCAACCAGACUGCCUGUCUCUUUCUCCUUCUCCGGUUCGAUCUUCACCGGAAGGCAUGAACUACAAACGAACAGGCUCUCUUGCCCGCGAACACGCGCGUCCAACCACACGCAGGUCGAACCUUACUCCACAUUCAUUAACAUUUAAAAAAAAAAAAGAAAAAAGAAAGAAAGAAAAAGAUCAUUCAAGCAAGGAACAGAUCAAGCGAGCAUGCGUCUGAAUGGCUGACAUCGAGUUCUCUGCGAGAUCUGUCAUUACGAGGAUUUAGAAUAAAGCUAGUUCGCGUAACCGUGAGUCUGUAUUACACAAUAAUCGAGUCCAUAAUGGUUGGUUCAGAAAGAAUGAUAAAUUUAGAUCGAUCGAGUGUCGUUCGGCGUGCUCCUUUUAAGAAUCUAUUCAACAAAGGAACUAUACAUCGUCUAUUGUACAGUGUCUAUUGGACGUAUAUUUUCUCAUUUAAAAAUACGCUUUCAGUCGUAAUUUAGAAAUACGAUACACCGCGCGUAUUAAUUGCUAAGAUGACUUGUAACAAACUCAAAAUUUCAUACUGUCUAAAGAAAUAGAGACUGCGGAUUUUUCUGCAAAUUCAUAUUUGUGAGAAUGUAACUUAAAAAGAGCAGAACCUCGCUAGAGAACUGUUUUACUUAUGAAAUAUUAAAAAAAGCACUGAUACCUUGAAUAUUUCGUAUAUCCUUUCAUACAACGCGCAUUCUGUGUAAUUUUGUAUUUUCAAAUUUCCUACGGAUGCAUAAAAAUUCGCAGUCUAGAUACAUACGUUUAAGAACACUUCAAAAGAUGGUUUUUCACUUUUUCAAAUAUUUCUUUCCGACUUGUUUCACUUGGGAACGUAAUACGGUGUAACUCGAGCUAAGCCAGCGAAUCACUCGCCGAUCGAAUUAUCAAUUCAGUCUCUUCUUCUUUAUCUUCUGGCUUCCUUUCCCGUGCUACAGUACGGAACGACGGAGUAUCGGACUAGUGGAUACUUUGAGGUAUUUUGCGGUUAGACCGUCCUUAGUUCAGGUAGUCGGGGUCUGUCAGUAUUUACCCGUCUGCGUUUACUCUUGCGACGUUAACGAGCAAAUGGAAGCGAAUGGGUAAACGGCAAGGUUUAAACGACAUUAAUCGAACACUUUAAGGGUACUUUAAUGUAUACAAUCUCGUACAUUCGCUUUUGCUUCAUUUUUCCAUUACGCGAAAGAAAAAGUGAUAUACACUUCAAAUGCUCAUUUUUAUAAAUUUAUAAACGUAAAGAGUGUGGCAACUUUUUAAUGAAGUUAAAUUAUAUUAAAUUACAUCGCGGAACAUUUUAUACCUCGCCCAAUCAGUUUCCAUUCUGCGAUCAUUUAUCACAAUUAUAUUCACGACUUGGCCGGGUAUAAAUAUAAUUUAUAUAAAUUUGAAACAUUAACACGCAUUACCUAUGUAUGUCCUUUAUUGCCUAUUCUCUCGUUGUCAGCAAUGUACACUCGUAUAAAUAUCUAAUGACAAAUAUAAUCCAUAAAUCCUAUGCAUCGAUUAUCGCUAUUGAAAAAUAACACGUGAUUAUGGUAGGAAGAAAUCUACGAUGGUUAAAAAUUUAUAUUCGUACUUUUCCACUUAUAUAAUUUUUUAUUUAUUAAUUUUGUAUUUGCGUAAUUUUUGUAGCCACGCGAAUGUACUAUACUAAAAAUGAUACGAAAUUUCACAUACCUGAAUCUAAUUAAUUAAUAUGUACUCGCGCUAUAACAAACACUAUGGUGUACGAAUAUUUCUUGUAGCCACUGUAUAUCGACACGAAGAAAUCACUAUUUGUUAUUAGAUUAACAGGCACAAGUACGCGUCCAGUUUCCUUCUAACCAGAUGGUCUGGCGCGUGUGCAACGCCUUUUACGCAUACGCGUUACGUAUGCACACGCGUGUAUUCCGUUUUACACGUGACGUUGGUUGAUCUCAGAAAGCCGCCGGCACGUUGGUAGAAGGGUAAAUAAGGCCGCUGAUUCGCCCAAGGGGAUCUAACUCUCUGGAUGGUGCAAUUCUGCCCUGAAGGCUCCGACAACCUACUCGAGACCGCUGACUCGCCUCGAACCUCCGAUCGGACUAAUGUGGCUCUUGUUCUGUCUCUUUUAAUACUUUAUUUUCCGACAGCCUGCACGCUGCAGAUACGCCUAUUUAUAAUCCUCCGUGUCGUUCCUCCAUGUAUUUUACUUUGUCGCGCGUUAUCUCGCAAGCAAAGGUCACAGUCGUUGUGUCAUCGAUUUUGAUAACAUUUUUCCCGAUGAAUCAUAUUUUGCCAUUUUCGUCAAUAUUUAUUAUUUCGGAAGAUAUUAAAAGCGAUCAGUCCAUAUUGUGGACACGAUAAAUUUCUAUUAAUUCGGAGUUCACGGGGCGGGCGAACGGACGUUGCUCGCUUUAAUAGCAUUUUUAUACACGACGAUGGAGAUCGUACACGAAUCGUAGAAAUUAUUCCGCCACGUUGUAGUUCCUAUCGUCAAAUUCAGAAAAGUCAACCAAAGUUUCACGAACCAGCGGCGAAUUAUGAAUCAGAGAAGAUGCAUCGAAGAUACGUUUUUUUUUAAGAACAUAAUUAGAUAUUCUUGGUACGCGCAAAAUUAAUACUCGAUAGGUCAAUUCUUUUUAAUGUCGACCAAGUAUGUCUGCCGGAUAAUGUGAUAAUAUUUUGUUGAAAAUACUUGUGUUUUUCGUGUUUCUACGAUAUGCAUCAUCCUGUACAUUUUAUUGAUAUAAUGUAACGAAAUGACAGUAAAUUUAAAGAGAAGAAAAAAGAUUAACAAAAAGGUGAAGGAAGAUAUAACAAAAUAAAAGAACAUGAAUAUAUAAGCACAUCCGCGGAAAACAAGUUACAAAAGGAAGAAAAUAUAAAGAAAGAAAAAGAAUUUAUUGAUCGUGAGAGAUUUGAAUUCGUGAUAGAGUAAUUCAAGAACCUAUCACUCUACCACAUUUUUUUCUUAUAAAAGAAUGUUUAUUUGCCACAUAAAUUACAAGAUCGUAGCAGUGUUUCGACUGCACAUUCGGUUGUUCGCAUGAUGCUAAAAAAGAAAUCCACAAGCACGUAAGCCAUUACAAUUCACUCUACAUUACCAAAGAAAAGUACGCAAAUAAACAUAUCAAUAUGAUGAACUCAUGGGUCGCACAGACUUACCACCUUCACUGUCACAGCUAUUUUCAUUCGUUCGUUAUCGUUGGCCGACGCGUUAUACAUAUUUAGUCGGUACAUUCCUCCGGUUUCGUAAUUGCUAUUUACAUAAUUUCAUUUUCGGUCGGGUGUAAUUUUGUGUUCGAUCUUCCUCUGCUCGGACGGUCAUGAUCUUUCCGUUUGUUUUUGGCUUUCUACGAUUUUUUGCCUGACUUCGGUUUGUCAAUUAGUCCUUCGGCUUAGCGAAUCGAAAGGGAACUCGAUAUUUCGAUGUUGGCAAUUAUCACGAUUCUCACAUUGUGGGACGUGGAAUGGGUACAGUGAGUCACGCUGACUGAAAGAGACGAAGCGAGGAUUUUCGACACAUAGGGCGUAGUGUAGCUAUCGUAUCUUUCUUUCUUGCGCAUUUACAUACGUAAAUUUAAAUAAAUUCCUUUCUUUUCUUUUUACGUGACGCGUUUGACAAUAAGAAAGUUCCGAAAAAGAACGAGCGAAGAGGAAGAAGAAAAUAAGGUACGAACGUCGAAGGUGUCGACGAUAAUUUGAAUGCAAAUCAUACGUUUCCCGCCCUGCAUUAUGCGCCAUUUGUCGCAAACGAACGAGGAGUUGUCGAAGAAGAAGACGUUAAUAUUGCAUAAUCACGUCGCGAAACGUAGAAUGAAAAAUGUCGAGGAUGAUUCCACGGGAUACGAUCUCCACGCAGCUUCGCACAUUUGCUUCGAGUUUUACGAGUCGUGCAAUUAGUGGGACAACUCGAGGCGUAUGGUAAAAAUCCGAGACGAAACGGUUAAAUUCGAUUGGUUCUGCUUGAUAAUGAAUCGUCAUUGACGACAAAUGUUGAGAAAAACGCUACUUAUUAAUCUUCCAUCGCGACGAUACGCGUGCGAGAAGCGUACCCUGUUAUGGACAAAGUAAGUGCCUACUUAUGAUUAAUGCCCUAUGCUGAAAUCAUUUUCGCGUUUUCAGCGGAUCUGCAUGCUUCUACGGAGCCGUUCGUGAUUUUAACACGAUCUGCAUUUUCUCCAAAAUUACGCGAAUACCUCCAGAAAAUACAAUUUCGCUAUUUCUCUGAAGGAUUUUUUAAAUUCGUUGGUCUCGCGAGAAACGUCACAACCGUAAUACACCGGAUCUUGAUCAAACUCUACAGACUCAUAGUCUGACCAAAAAUAUUCCUCACGUAUUUUUUCUUGCCGGCAAUGGCUCACAUCUCGAGCGUGAGAACAGCAGCCAAAUUUUAGGGUUGAAGACGUAUGUUUUAAAAUAUCUCGAGAAAUAUUAGAGGCAGAGGAAUUACGUCAACGAACGAAUUUUACGCCUUUUGAAAAAUUGACAUUACUGUAUAGAAAAACUAUAGAAAAAUUCGUUUAUAUAAAUAAUAUAUCAAAAACUAUAAUUUUUUCACUGUUGUUGCAGCGUAUUCGAACAGAAUGCUGUAGUUUCGUAUGAACAGAUAGAACUUCGUCAGUUAAUUUGGAGUGCAAUUUCAGACAGAAAAUGCCUAAUAAGUCUAUGCCCAUUCGCAGUCAGACCGCAGAGCGAUAUUGUACUUUACGCUGAAUGUACAUACAGCUGUAAAAAAAAAUGAAAUGGCGUUAUUCGCCAUCCGGUGCAUAAGAAAUGUUUACACACUGUCACGUCAGAUGAAACGAAAAGAGACACAUAACGCGUAACACCUGCAACAACUAACCCAGGUAACGUCAUCACGCGUGCAUCAGAUAAGCGAUAUUUCACUUGCGUAAUACGAGGCGUACACUCCUUAGCGAACAGCAGACCAUCGUCACGAGCUAUCGUUUGUCACGUUUUAGAUACCUCGUAUAUCGUUCAUCUACCCGCGCCAUGCGAUGUCCGAUGUACGUUGCAUAUCCUUUAAAGCCAUUUCUUAAUGAUAUCAUAGAACUGCCAUACGAUGCGUGACACGCGUGCGACAGACAGUGCAAAUUAAUAAGCACGCUUCUAUCCAAGACAGCAGAAUUGGCUAAGGUUUAAGCAACGCCACAAGCGAAACAUAGAGAUUUAACGAACAUUCAUGGAGGACGAUAAUUUUACAUAGAAUUCGUUGUGCCUCCUUGAAUUUUGCAACUUUGUUGCAUGGACAUUUUGAAAGAAAUGCAGCACAAUGGUUGAAAUUAAUUACUACCAAUUUUCAGUUCUUUUCGUUUGCGUAAAGGACAACGUUUCUUUUACGACAGUGUAAUUAGCUAACUGCAACAGUUUAUGAUUUGCGACACGUUUAUCGUCAUGUGUCUGGAAAACCAAACGUCUUACAGGUGUCCAGAUUCGUUACGUAGAAACUUACAUAGACCAAUUUCUAGAUCUGGACUCCUGAAUUUUUCUGAUGAUUCGAUUAAGAAUGCAAAAAAAAAAAAAAAAAGAAAACAUAGAACGCUUUGUACGAGAGGAUAAUCGCGAUACGUACGUGAUUCCUUGUUUCGUUUGAAAUUCGCGAUAAAAUCGAUCCUGUCGUAACAGCUGUACAUAUAUCCUUCGGCAAAUAUUAGAGUCAUCUUGCUGGAGGUCUUUUCGGAGGCCUAUGAGAGAGACCGCUCCCUCGUCUCGAGCUGUUGUGCAACGUGAUCCAAGAGUGAAAGAUCAUUGUCCCGCAUGAUCGUACAUAAACCUUGCAGCUCGUGUGCAAGUCGUGCACCCUAAUUAUGCGGGCAAGACCACCGUCAUACUUUGCGAAUUUUAUGAAGUACGAGUUAGUUUCUCGUGUGAAUACAUGGAAUCUUUUGCACAAUAGUUUAGUAAUUAAUAACAUCGACGGAUUCACGACACGACAAAUCGACAGGCUAUAGAUUACCGUUUUAAAAACAAUUCUUGCAAUUUUACAAUUGUUUCAUUCAGCCGAACGUGACAAUCGGCUGACUCGUGGCUCGCAAAAUCUUCGAGUCGCACGUUACUCUGCUUGUAAUUUGAUUAAUAAUAUCAGUUCAAUCGUACGAAAUAAUUGUUAUAAUUAACGUUUACUAUGACUGAACGACACGGUAAUUAAACGAUGUGUUGGAAGCUGUACGUACGUUGAUCGUACUCAACAAGCCGAACGCGAUAAAUGUUUCGCGCUCUGACAAGAAGAUCUGACGCAAAUAGAACUUCUUACGAAUAGCAAAAAAGAAGUACAAGAUCAAAGGUUAUAGCGUUCAGAUUCGAAAGAAAUCUGUCGAAACGUGCUUCGUUAAUGAUCGGAUUAAUAUUCAAGACACGUACAAAUUACGUGUUUACCCGUCUGAAACAUAUGAUCGAUCGAAUACAGCUGGCAGUUACAGUUAAAUGCGACACUCAUGACAUUACGGUGGAUUUCUACGUAUCGUAAUUUAUUUAAGAGAACGAGAGCGGAGGCAAAUCCGCGAACGCUCAACCAACGUAUCCUCGGGCUGUGGGUCGUAGAUCACUACGUGGGUCACGAAUCUCAAUGAAGUAGAACAUUUCAUCUGGUCUAAACAGUUGAACGGAUUACGUAUACCGGUUAGAGACAAUUCCCUCGUAUUUUACUUGACGAGCAUCUUUCAAUUUUCAAUCCAUCGAAGCGCGAGUGAAAGAAGAAUGCCGAAUACAUACCGAGACUGUUUAUCUGAAAAACGAAAUUUAUCAUUAAAGAAUAACUUAAUAAA